UACAGAGGGUGCAAGCGUUAAUCGGAAUUACUGGGCGUAAAGCGUGCGUAGGUGGUAAAUCAAGUCAGAUGUGAAAUCCCAGGGCUCAACCUUGGAAUUGCAUUUGAAACUGAUUCACUAGAGUUUGGGAGAGGGAAGUGGAAUUUCCGGUGUAGCGGUGAAAUGCGUAGAUAUCGGAAGGAACACCAGUGGCGAAGGCGACUUCCUGGACCAAUACUGACACUGAGGUACGAUAGCGUGGGUAGCGAACAGG
rnacentral:rRNA from 1 species